AUUGCUUCUUAGCCAUGUGGCUAAGAUCAAGUGUAGUAUCUGUUCUUAUGGGUUUAAUAUCUGAUACAUCCUCUAUCUGAGGACAACAUAUUAAAUGGAUUUUUGGAACAGGGAGAUGGAAUAGGAGCUUGCCCCAUCCAUUCCAUGCAUCGACCUGGUAUUGCAGUACCUCCAGGAACAGUGCAGGAAAA
ensembl:snRNA U2 U2 spliceosomal RNA